AAGAAUACCAAUUGCGAAGGCAGCUUUCUGGAUCAUUACUGACACUGAGGAACGAAAGCAUGGGUAGCGAAGAGGAUUAGAUACCCUCGUAGUCCAUGCCGUAAACGAUGUGUGUUAGACGUUGGAAAUUUAUUUUCAGUGUCGCAGCGAAAGCAAUAAACACACCGCCUGGGGAGUACGACCGCAAGGUUAAAACUCAAAUGAAUUGACGGGGACCCGCACAAGUAGUGGAGCAUGUGGUUUAAUUCGAAGAUACGCGCAGAACCUUACCAACACUUGACAUGUUCGUCGCGACUCUAAGAGAUUAGAGUUUUCGGUUCGGCCGGACGAAACACAGGUGCUGCAUGGCUGUCGUCAGCUCGUGUCGUGAGAUGUUGGGUUAAGUCCCGCAACGAGCGCAACCCUCACUUUUAGUUGCCAUCAUUUAGUUGGGCACUCUGAAAGAACUGCCAGUGAUAAGCUGGAGGAAGGUGGGGAUGACGUCAAGUCCUCAUGGCCCUUACGUGUUGGGCUACACACGUGCUACAAUGGCAUUUACAAUAGGAAGCAAGAUGGCGACAUCAAGCAAAUCCUAAAAAAGUGCCUCAGUUCGGAUUGCACUCUGCAACUCGAGUGCAUGAAGCUGGAAUUACUAGUAAUCGCGGAUCAGCGCGCCGCGGUGAAUACGUUCCCGGGUCUUGUACACACCGCCCGUCACACCAUGGGAGUUGGUUCUACCUUAAGGCAAAGCGUAAAAACUUUGACCACGGUAUAGUCAGCGACUGGGGUGAAGUCGUAACAAGGUAGCCGUAGGGGAACCUGCGGCUG
rnacentral:rRNA from 1 species